rnacentral:misc_RNA from 1 species
UUGUGAUGUUAUGUCAACAAUAUUUUGGUCCAUUUUUACGUAUCAUGCAAGAUGAUGGUGGAUGAUGUUCGGGGCGAUGGGUGCAGUGUUUCAAGGUAAAAGAAGAAUAAUUUUCAGAUUGGUGGAGGUUGAUGCAGCUUUCUGUGUGGGCAAGAGCAACUGAUGGGUAUUUAGGUGAGGGAGUGGUGCAUCAUGUGUGUAGAGUGGAAUUUGGGGUUUUUGUUGUACCGGUGGUGUGAAGUUAUUCUUUGGAGGUGGCGAGAUGUGUGUGAAGCAUUGAAGAGAGGGAAAGGGAUAGGAGAUGGGUUCAUUGUCUUGCAUAUGGUGUGAGCUUGCAUUCGAAGCAAGGGUGAGGUGCUAAGAUGGAAG